AGAGUUUGAUCCUGGCUCAGAUUGAACGCUGGCGGCAGGCCUAACACAUGCAAGUCGAGCGGAUGAAGAGAGCUUGCUCUCUGAUUCAGCGGCGGACGGGUGAGUAAUGCCUAGGAAUCUGCCUGGUAGUGGGGGACAACGUCUCGAAAGGGACGCUAAUACCGCAUACGUCCUACGGGAGAAAGCAGGGGACCUUCGGGCCUUGCGCUAUCAGAUGAGCCUAGGUCGGAUUAGCUAGUUGGUGAGGUAAUGGCUCACCAAGGCGACGAUCCGUAACUGGUCUGAGAGGAUGAUCAGUCACACUGGAACUGAGACACGGUCCAGACUCCUACGGGAGGCAGCAGUGGGGAAUAUUGGACAAUGGGCGAAAGCCUGAUCCAGCCAUGCCGCGUGUGUGAAGAAGGUCUUCGGAUUGUAAAGCACUUUAAGUUGGGAGGAAGGGCAGUAAAUUAAUACUUUGCUGUUUUGACGUUACCGACAGAAUAAGCACCGGCUAACUCUGUGCCAGCAGCCGCGGUAAUACAGAGGGUGCAAGCGUUAAUCGGAAUUACUGGGCGUAAAGCGCGCGUAGGUGGUUUGUUAAGUUGGAUGUGAAAUCCCCGGGCUCAACCUGGGAACUGCAUUCAAAACUGACAAGCUAGAGUAUGGUAGAGGGUGGUGGAAUUUCCUGUGUAGCGGUGAAAUGCGUAGAUAUAGGAAGGAACACCAGUGGCGAAGGCGACCACCGGACGAUACGACACGAGGGCGAAAGCGGAGUUUCUC
rnacentral:rRNA from 1 species